rnacentral:sRNA from 2 species
AUGUACCACGCGUACACUCGGUUGUGAGUGCGCUGUCCACACCCACCUGACGGCUGCUCGCUCUGUUUUGUUAGCC